GAUGAAUGCUGGCGGCGUGCCUAACACAUGCAAGUCGAGCGGCAGCGAGGGGUGCUUGCACCCUGUCGGCGAGCGGCGAACGGCUGAGUAACGCGUAGGAAUUUGCCCCAAAGUGAGGAAUAACUGCCCGAAAGGGUAGCUAAUGCCGCAUAUGGUCUUCGGAUUAAAGGAUUUAUCCGCUUUGGGAGAAGCCUGCGUUGGAUUAGGUUGUUGGUAGGGUAAUGGCCUACCAAGCCGACGAUCCAUAGCUGGUCUGAGAGGAUGAUCAGCCAGACUGGAACUGAGACACGGUCCAGACUCCUACGGGAGGCAGCAGUGAGGAAUCUUCCACAAUGGGCGAAAGCCUGAUGGAGCAACGCCGCGUGAAGGAUGGAGGCCUUCGGGUUGUAAACUUCUUUUAUGAGUGAAGAAUAUGACGGUAACUCAUGAAUAAGCACCGGCUAACUACGUG
rnacentral:rRNA from 1 species